GUGAUUGUAGCUCAGUGGUUAGAGUCCCGGGUUGUGGUUCCGGUUACGCGGGUUCGAGUCCCGUCGAUCACC
rnacentral:tRNA from 2 species